rnacentral:rRNA from 1 species
ACCAGUCUUGUCAAGGCGGGCGUCUAACCUCGUCUCGUGAAUCCGGGCGGGGGACAAUGCCAGAGGGUCAGUUUGACUGGGGCGGUUUCCUCCUAAAAGGUAACGGAGGAGUUCGAAGGUCCCCUCAGCACGGUCGGCAAUCGUGCGUCGAGCGCAAUGGCAUAAGGGGGCUUAACUGCGAGACUGACAAGUCGAGCAGGUGCGAAAGCAGGACAUAGUGAUCCGGUGGUUGCUAGUGGUAGCGCCAUCGCUCAUCGGACAAAAGGUACUCCGGGGAUAACAGGCUGAUCGCUGCCAAGAGUUCACAUCGACGCAGCGGUUUGGCACCUCGAUGUCGGCCCAUCGCAUCCUGGGGCUGGAGAAGGUCCCAAGGGUUUGGCUGUUCGCCAAUUAAAGCGGUACGCGAGCUGGGUUCAGAACGUCGUGAGACAGUUCGGUCCUUAUCCACUGUGGGCGCAGGAAAUCUGAGGAGAACAUUCCCUAGUACGAGAGGACCAGGAAUGACGUACCUCUGGUGUUCCAGUUGUUCCGCCAGGAGCAUCGCUGGGUAGCUAUGUACGGAACGGAUAAGCGCUGAAAGCAUCUAAGUGCCAAGCCUCCUCCAAGAUAAGAUUUCCCUGCCUGAAUCCCCCGCAAGGGGGAGACAGGCGUGUAGGCACCCUGAAGACUACAGGGUUGAUAGGCCGGAUGUGUAAGCCCGGUGACGGGUUGAGCUGACCGGUACUAAUCUGCCGUUAGGCCUGAGUAU